rnacentral:rRNA from 1 species
CGAACGCUGGCGGCGCGCCUAACACAUGCAAGUCGAACGAGCGAGAGAGAGCUUGCUUUCUCGAGCGAGUGGCGAACGGGUGAGUAACGCGUGAGGAACCUGCCUCAAAGAGGGGGACAACAGUUGGAAACGACUGCUAAUACCGCAUAAGCCCACGACCCGGCAUCGGGUAGAGGGAAAAGGAGCAAUCCGCUUUGAGAUGGCCUCGCGUCCGAUUAGCUAGUUGGUGAGGUAACGGCCCACCAAGGCGACGAUCGGUAGCCGGACUGAGAGGUUGAACGGCCACAUUGGGACUGAGACACGGCCCAGACUCCUACGGGAGGCAGCAGUGGGGAAUAUUGCACAAUGGGGGAAACCCUGAUGCAGCGACGCCGCGUGGAGGAAGAAGGUCUUCGGAUUGUAAACUCCUGUUGUUGAGGAAGAUAAUGACGGUACUCAACAAGGAAGUGACGGCUAACUACGUG